ACGCUCGACACCUACGGGAGGCAGCAGUGAGGAAUAUUGGUCAAUGGGGCGCAGGCCUGAACCAGCCAAGUAGCGUGAAGGAUGACUGCCCUAUGGGUUGUAAACUUCUUUAUAUGGGAAUAAAGUUUUCCACGUGUGGAAUUUUGUAUGUACCAUAUGAAUAAGGAUCGGCUAACUCCGUGCCACAGCCGCGGUAAUCUGAGCGGGCUGGCAAGGC
rnacentral:rRNA from 1 species